rnacentral:ncRNA from 1 species
GUGUUGUCUGAAAGGCAAUGUUACUAUUCCCCUUGAUAAGGAUGGAAGAGGUCAGUUAGGGCAUUGCCACCUACUCUAUGGGAUGUAACCAUGGUUUUGU